rnacentral:rRNA from 1 species
AGCACCAAAGGCCAAGGAAAAAGAGCGGACGAGACGAAAAAUUUGGAGUGCGGGAGGAGGGAAGCCGGCGGGCGCAGGAGGUGGAGUGAAAUGCGAGAAAGGGGAGGGGCGUGAGGCAACGCUGCUCGCAUUUGUUGUGCCCACGGACUUUGGCAGCCAUUCAAUGCUCCACCAAACGCUCAUCCCUUCUUCCCUUGCCUUCUCCGCCUCCGCUUCCCCUUCCCCCGACCCUCUCCCCUUCGCCUCGAACGCCGCCGCCGCCGCCGCCGCCGCGACCCCCCUUCGCUCCUCAGCCAUGCCGUCCUACGCGCACCACCACAGCUCUCUGGACGAGAGGAUGGACGCCCUCAAGGGCAGUAGCCGCGAGGAGGAGACGCCCGACGAGGCCGCCGCCGAGGCGCCGGCGGCCUGGGGCUUCGCCGAGAGGGACGGCUUCUCCGUCGAGGACCUGCUGGACCUCGAGGAGUUCUGCGAGCCGGAUAGGGACGGCGCCGACGAGCCCGAGGAGGCUCCGGCCGCCGCCGUGAAAGAAGAGAAGUUGAACGACGGGCCCAACCAGUCCGUCGUGUCGUAUGAGCUCGCCCCUCCGGCGCCGCCAGCGCCGGAGAUUGUUGACCUGCCGGCGCAUGACGUCGAGGAGGAGCUCGAGUGGGUGUCCCGUAUCAUGGACGACUCGCUCUCCGAGCUCCCCCCGCAGCCGGCGCCGCCCGCGUCGAUGAUGGCGUCGUUGGCGCCACGCCCGCCGCAGCACCGGCUACCCCAGCGGCACCCGCAGGAUGGAGCGUACCGUGCUCUGCCGUCUAUGUCCGACCCUAUGCGGACUCCGACCAUAUGCGCGCUGUCCACGGAGGCGCUGGUCCCGGUCAAGGCGAAGCGCAGCAAGCGCUCUAGGGCGUCGGGGUGGUCGCUCUCGGGCCCCGCGCCGGACUCCACGUCGUCCUCGUCGACCACCACCACCUCCUCGUGCUCCUCGUCGGCCUCCUUCUCGCCCUACUUCCUGCUGGACACGCCGCACUUCGGCGCCUCGGAGCUCAUGGAGGAGUACAACAUCCUGCCGCCGCCGCCCAAGAAGUCCAAGCACGGCAAGAGCAGCAAGCAGAAGGCCAAGAAGCGCGGCCGCAAGCCCAAGAACCUCCCCGCACCCUCCAGCGCCAUGGAGGCCGCCACCCAGAGCGACCGGCGCUGCAGCCACUGCGGCGUGCAGAAGACCCCGCAGUGGCGCGCGGGGCCGGAGGGCGCCAAGACGCUGUGCAACGCGUGCGGCGUGCGCUACAAGUCCGGCCGGCUCCUCCCCGAGUACCGGCCGGCGUGCAGCCCGACGUACGUGAGCAGCGUCCACUCCAACUCCCACCGCAAGGUGCUCGAGAUGAGGCGCAAGAAGGAGGACGGCCCCCUCACAGUCACCGCCACCGCGCCCGCCGUGGCGUCGUUCUAGCUCGUUCGCUGGCUGGCUGGCCACUCCGUCCGCGGUGGCUGUACAUUUUCCCGCCCGUAUCAGUCUUUGUACUACCGUACUCGAACCUUUUUUCUUCCAUUUCUCUGCUAGUAUCAUCAUCAUCAUCCGAGUAGUUCCGUUUGGAGAUUAAUUAGAGUCCAGCAGGUUUAGGUCAUGUUAGGUUUUAGGAAUUCGGCUCCUCCAACUCCACCACCUUCAUUAGCUUGUUAGGGUACUAAGUACUGCUACAGCAGCAGCAGUGCAGCACUAGCUCAGAACUUUAUUUCCAGCUUUGUCCCAAGGAGUUUUUCUAUGAGCUAGCAUGUGUUUGCUAGUGUAGUGUAAAUCAAUGGCGGUGCUUAGUUUUUACCAUCAUCAGGGUUGAAGAAACCCAGAACCAACCUUCCCUUUGGGUGGGGUGAAGGAAAAGAGGGAGAAACGAGAAGAGAGCAACGCAUCGGCGAACCAACCGGGUGCGUGAUGCGUGCAUCCUCGGAUACAUCACAUGGUGUUGUCACAUGUAACAGCAGAGCAGACAGUUGAGGGCUCGGGACAGCGAGAGGUAGAGGUAGAUGGAUGCUGCAAGCAACCACGCUGCGCUGUCUGUUUCGUGCAAGAGCAGGAAUGGAGUGGAGUUGGGAAGUUCUUGUUCAUGGAUGGCCCUGCUAAUUUUCUCAAUCACCAAUGAAU